GCUGUGCUGCUGCCUCCCUCAUUCUCCUUCAGAGACAUCGAACACACAGGUCACCGGCAGCCCACCAGCAGCUUACUAUCAGCUCACCAGCAGCUCACUGGCAGCUCACCGGCAGGAGGAGAAUAAUCGGCAGCAGAUACAGUACUUGACUAAGUACCAUGCCUCCAAAAUGGGUCAUCUCAUUCUGGAACACCAUGACCUCCUGUUAUCCUUGCAGGAAAUAUCAGAAAUGGGCUGAAAAGAGAAGGGCCACCCACAUGCCUCGCCCUACCGGGCUUGAGGCGGAGGAACUGACUCCAGCGGAGCAGGUUGAAGAGAUCAUCUCUAAUGGCACCCUGAGCAAGGAACCCACUUUCAGUGAUAAGAACAUCGAUUGCCAAGCCCUGGAAGUGGAAAACAAGAAGCUAGCAGAAGAGAAGAACUUGCUAGCGGAGGAGAAUGAGAUCUUGAAAAUGAAGCUUGAGAUCCAAUAUGAAGCCCUGAUGGAGGUGGUGAAGGUGAUGGAGGAGGACACUGCCAAACUCCGCAGCUGUUUGGGACAAUAACUCAGCUGACCAUUAAAAUAGGAGCCUUAUCUCACCUGUUAGAGAAGGUGGAAAAUAUGCUCUGAGAGGUUUCUGUAACUUCUAAUCGAAAAGUGCUGAAAUCUCUCAGUGUAUAUUUUCCACCUUUUGUCACCUUCUCUAAUAGGUGAAAGGAUUCAUGUAUGUCAUCAUCUGGUUCAGCUAACAGUGGCUAUACUAUUUCCCAUCACAUGCUCUGAUAAUAACAUCAUGAACAUCAAUAAACAGAGCAAACUUAU